rnacentral:tRNA from 1 species
UCCGUUAUGGUCUAGGGGUUAGGAUUCUCCGCUUUCACAUCAAUCUGGUCUCUAUCAGAUUCAGCGAGCCGGAGCGGCCCGGGUUCGAUUCCCGGUAACGGAA